rnacentral:rRNA from 1 species
UGGGGAAUAUUGGGCAAUGGAGGAAACUCUGACCCAGCAACGCCGCGUGAAUGAUGAAGGUCUUCGGAUUGUAAAGUUCUGUGACGGGGGACGAAGAAAGUGACGGUACCCCGAUAGCAAGCUACGGCUAACUACGUGCCAGCAGCCGCGGUAAUACGUAGGUAGCAAGCGUUGUCCGGAAUGACUGGGCGUAAAGGGUGCGUAGGCGGCUUGACAAGUUGGUAGUGAAAUUCCGAGGCUUAACUUCGGCGCUACUACCAAGACUGCCGAGCUUGGGUACGGGAGAGGUAAGUGGAAUUCCUAGUGUAGCGGUGGAAUGCGUAGAUAUUAGGAGGAACACCGGUGGCGAAAGCGACUUACUGGCCCGCAACUGACGCUGAGGCACGAAAGCGUGGGGAGCAAACAGG